rnacentral:tRNA from 1 species
UCACGGUAGAGUACUGGCUUUUAAGUGCG